AACAAAGUUCACCAUACAGACCCGUCAUACCCGCCGGUCGUGUCAACUGUGCUUUACCAAAGUGUGGAGUCCCACUACUGGCAGAUAAAGUGAAAAUGAAAUGAUAAAAACUACUCCUAGUACUACACUCGUCAUUUAAAAUUGAAAAAAGGAACAUUAUUUUCAAUUUCAAAUUUCUACAACAUUCAGAUCUAUCUCCCUUGGAUUUUUCUCAACAUCAACAUGCCUCCUACAGAUAAUGAUUUCGAUCUCAGACGUGCAUCUACUCCACCUAGCGGUAUGGGAAUCAGUGAAUGUAAUUUUGCAGAUAUCAACAAUUUGGAGCAUUGUGCUAAGUAUCUAAACCAAACACUGGUUACCUUUGGAUUCCCUGCUUCACUUGAUCUCUUUGCUCAUGACCCGGUUUCUAUUGCGAGGACCUGCAAUUGUGUAUAUGCACUAUUACAGCAGAGGCAGAGGGAUAUUGAAUUCAGGGAGUCUGCAAAUGAGCAGAGACAGCGACUGUUAUCAGACAUAUCAAGAUUAGAGGCCAAAGUGGAGAGGCUGGAAUCUCAACUACAAUCCAAAGAUAGAGAGAUAGCUACAAUUACUAGAGAGGAAGCUAAAGCUACUGCAGCUUUGAAGUCACAAAUUGACAAGUUGCAGAAGGAAAGAGAUGAGUUUCAGAGGAUGGUUCUUGGAAAUCAGCAAGUCAGAACUCAGCAGAUACAUGAAAUGAAGAAAAAGGAAAAGGAGUAUAUAAAGUUACAGGAGAGGCUAAAUCAAGUGUUGAUGGAGAAAAAGAAGGAAUCCAGAUCAGGCAUGGAAAUAAUGAAUUUACUUCAGAAAGAAGGGCGUCAACGUGGGACAUGGAAUGGGAAGAAGGCUGACAAUGACUUCUACAAGAAGAUUGUGGAUGCCUACGAAGCUAAAAAUCAAGAAUUAGCUGCAGAAAAUGCUGAUUUGAGGGCAUUAUUGCGAUCAAUGCAGGCUGACAUGCGUGAGUUCUUAAAUGCCCCAAAUGGGUCUUCGAGGCAGUCAGCUUCAACCAAUGAGAGGCUAGACACAGAUCACUUGCAGUCCCCGUUGGGUGGUAGAACGGAUGUUUUUGAUCUGCCUCUCCACAUGGCUAGGGAUCAAAUUGAAGAAAGUCUUCGUAACAAGAUGGCUUCUAUCAAGGAGCGAAUGGGUCAACUACAAGAUGCACAGAAGGGUGCAGAAGUUACCUCAGAAGCGACAGAGAGAGAGCUUGAGCUAGAAGCUCAGCUUGUCGAGGCCAGGAGCAUAAUCCAAGAGCAGGCAUCAAUUAUGUCCAAACAUCUUACGAAGUCUGAGAAGCCAAGGCGGUUAAGUGGCCAUAUGAAUUCCGAGAGGGACUUGCUCAUUUCAUCCCCUACUGAGAAAACAGCAUUCCAGUGAAGAAGAAAGCAAUAAGGAAAAUGGGCAUCCAUUUUACAGAUACUUUAAUGGGGCUGUGAAGGUUCCAACUUUGGACAACCUUAAGUCUGGAUGUGACCUUAAUUCUUCUUAAUGGUGAUAUAGGGGCAAUAUUUUCUGAUGCUAAUGAACUGCUAGCACCUAGGCAGGUAGACAUAUGUCUACUUCAUGGUAGCUGUGUUCAAUACUCUGAUGGAGCAGUAGGAUGAUGUCAUCUGUAGUUGGCAAUUCGUCCCUGUAAUAUUUUACGUGGUAUAGCUGAUAUAGUUCUUUUGGUUUCCCGGAUGCUAAUUCAACCUACCAUAUUUAUAUAUGAAGCCCCAAUCCCGUAAGAGUAUCUUAAUCUCUCUGUAACUUUGUCUUCAUAAUUAGUUUCUUGACUGCA